AGAAUCAACGCUGGCGGCGUGCCUAACACAUGCAAGUCGCACGAGAAAGGGACUUCGGUCUUGAGUAAAGUGGCGCACGGGUGAGUAACACGUGAAUUAUCUACCUCCGAAUGGGGAAUAACUGAGAGAAAUCUUAGCUAAUACCGCAUAAUACCUACGGGUCAAAGCAGCAAUGCGUUUGGAGAGGAGUUCGCGGUCGAUUAGUUAGUUGGCGGGGUAAUGGCCCACCAAGACGAUGAUCGAUAUCCGGCCUGAGAGGGCGCACGGACACACUGGAACUGAAACACGGUCCAGACUCCUACGGGAGGCAGCAGUGGGGAAUUUUGCGCAAUGGGGGAAACCCUGACGCAGCAACGCCGCGUGGAGGAUGAAAUAUCUUGGUAUGUAAACUCCUUUCGAUGGGGAAGAUAAUGACGGUACCAUAGAAGAAGCCCGGCUAACUUCGUGCCAGCAGCCGC
rnacentral:rRNA from 1 species